GGCGGUGGGGGGUCUAUACAUGCAAGUCGACGAACUCUGGUAUUGAUUGGUGCUUGCAUCAUGAUUUACAUUUGAGUGAGUGGCGAACUGGUGAGUAACACGUGGGAAACCUGCCCAGAAGCGGGGGAUAACACCUGGAAACAGAUGCUAAUACCGCAUAACAACUUGGACCGCAUGGUCCGAGUUUGAAAGAUGGCUUCGGCUAUCACUUUUGGAUGGUCCCGCGGCGUAUUAGCUAGAUGGUGGGGUAACGGCUCACCAUGGCAAUGAUACGUAGCCGACCUGAGAGGGUAAUCGGCCACAUUGGGACUGAGACACGGCCCAAACUCCUACGGGAGGCAGCAGUAGGGAAUCUUCCACAAUGGACGAAAGUCUGAUGGAGCAACGCCGCGUGAGUGAAGAAGGGUUUCGGCUCGUAAAACUCUGUUGUUAAAGAAGAACAUAUCUGAGAGUAACUGUUCAGGUAUUGACGGUAUUUAACCAGAAAGCCACGGCUAACUACGUGCCAGCAGCCGCGGUAAUACGUAGGUGGCAAGCGUUGUCCGGAUUUAUUGGGCGUAAAGCGAGCGCAGGCGGUUUUUUAAGUCUGAUGUGAAAGCCUUCGGCUCAACCGAAGAAGUGCAUCGGAAACUGGGAAACUUGAGUGCAGAAGAGGACAGUGGAACUCCAUGUGUAGCGGUGAAAUGCGUAGAUAUAUGGAAGAACACCAGUGGCGAAAGCGGCUGUCUGGUCUGUAACUGACGCUGAGCUCGAAAGUAUGGGUAGCAAACAGGAUUAGAUACCCUGGUAGUCCAUACCGUAAACGAUGAAUGCUAAGUGUUGGAGGGGUUUCCGCCCUUCAGUGCUGCAGCUAACGCAUUAAGCAGUCCGCCUGGAGGGAGUACGGCCGCAAGGCUGAAACUCAAACGGAGUUGACGGGGUGGCCCGCCACAAGCUGUGGGAGCAUGUGGGUGUACUUCCGAAGCUACGCGAGCAGCAUGACCAGGUCUUGGACAUACGAUUGCUAAUGCUAAAAGACUAGAACGUUCCGUACCCUACUUGAUACAUGUGGUGCAUGGUGUACGUCAGCUCAUGUCGUCGAGAUGCUUGGGCUUAAGGUCCGUCAGCGUAUGCCAACCAUGACUAUCCAUUGCCAUGCAGUAGACUUCGCUACCCGUGGGUCAACUUGGCGGGAUCAAUGUGAGCUGAUGAUACCAUACUCACUG
rnacentral:rRNA from 2 species